rnacentral:misc_RNA from 1 species
CGCAACGGCAACGAGGAGACAGGCGAGUGCAACGUGCGUUAGCGGCACAAGGGAGGAGAGGCCCCUUGCCACGCCUUGUUGACUAUCGGAAGGCUGCUGAACUCAGCAGCAGGGUGCGGUGAGGAGAAGCAGGUGCGCCAACGGGACAUAUGCUUGUGCUGUGUCGUCCUCUCCUGCUGCUGCACCGAGGCGGAGGGGCACUUCGGCCCACCGACCUGGUGCGGUGCACCUUUCAGCCGAACCUCACCUCCCUCACGAACCAGGUGAACCGCAACGAGCACUUCCUCAAGUUCGGCAACAAGAACAUCCCAAUGGGCGUUCCGCGGGUGUCACGGCGCGACGUGAGGCCCAUCUCCAUUCUGCACGAAACGCCACACCUGCUUGUCGCUGGCCGCAACUACGCUAACGGCUUUGCAGGAAACCAAUUUCUGCUAGUGCAGAAGGAGAGGAAGGAGUGUAUCUUCGUCGACGCGGCGGAUGACUGGCCGGAUGACUGGGUCUCCUUCAUCGCCACCUCCGGCUUACGCCCGACGCACUUCUUUCUCACGCACUGCCACGUUGACUGCAUCGUCAACCUCAACGCAUUCCUGGCUGUCAUGGAGCACCACUUCCACGUGCGGCUAGGACUCAUGUGGUGCCCGGCGGAGCAGUCGUGGGUGGACGUCUUUCCGCGUGCUUGCGAGCGGUACGGCCGCAUUGAGGAGAUGCGGCAACCUCUCCCAAUGCUGCAAAACAGCCUGUAUAGCCAUUAUACCUACGCACAUCAGCUUGGUCAGCGUCAGCGCGUCCUGAACGAGGCAGCUGCUGCAACGGAGGGCGGAGAGGACGGCGCUGACACGGUGGCUGGUGGACGCGGUUCCUCAUCACCGCGUGCACCGCCACGGCAGCUGGUUCGUUCAAGCGACAUCCUUCUCUCAAGCGCCACGAACCGCUCCACCUCCUUUUACGACUUUGGCCCUCACUCGGUGCUGCACUACGUCUUUACGCCCGGCCACUCACCCGGGCACAUGAUGCUGGCCCUCCCACGUGAGCGGCUGCUUUUCACUGGCGACGUCCUCUUCUACAAUGCCGUUGGCCGCGUUGACCUGCCGUGGGGAUCAGGGGAGCGGCUGGCUGAGAGCCUGCUGACAUUGGAGGGGUAUCCAGACAACACCGUGCUGCUGCCUGGUCACGGCCGUCUCACCACUCUGGGGCGAGAGCGACGAGAGAACCGCGCCCUACGUGCUCUGUACGAGCGCCGCUCCGCUGGAGAUCAGCAGGUGUCUGUUGGCUACAACACCGGAUAUCUGUGAGCGCGUCUUCAUAUACGGGCACCCUCUUGGUAUGCCGGUCCUGCAAGUCGCACUGGCGCUCUUGUGCUUGUAUCGUUUAGUGGCUUCGUAGAGGCUCAAGAGCAUGUUGCGCUCCUAUACAAGACGUUCUCAGCGCGGGUAUUUUUUUUUCACAUAAGCACGCGCAUAAACCCGAAUGGCCGAGGGCGGUUCACGAAGUGGAGUCACUGGAGACGCCCGAGGGGAGCAACCCGCCUGCGCGAAUGCCCUCGUCACGCACCGAGGCUACGAACUCUGCCACGCAAGCUCAUCCAGACCGGCUCACGCGCCUGGGCGAGCUCCAGGGUGCUGCCUUCGUGCCACUUCUAUCCUGGCCGAGUAGUGUGUGCACAUCAUGGAGGCUUUGCUCAAAGGCGGGCACCCUCUUCUCCACGCCCCCUCUACACUUCCGUCCUCUCAUGUUCCUCUCUCUCUGCAUGCAUCUCGCUCUCCUUCUUUUUCGUAUGUGGGACCGCACACACCGGCACGCCGGGAUCCGCCUUUGCCGAAG